rnacentral:sRNA from 1 species
AAUCAAUCGACUUUGCUUUGGUUAAUCUCAGUAACUCAGUAAUUACAGGUCAAUAGAUCACUGGUCCUUCACAACCUACAACAGGAGAAUCUUAAAAUAAAGCCUACAACAAAGAACCCAAAUAGUUACCGAGUGAUUGUCCACAAAUACAAACUAUAAUUGGUCCCCAGUAAAACCAAUUACAUAAUCUUAUAGAAAGACCUGUUUAUCUCGUGCUAUCUUGAGAAGCACAAAUUUAAUCAACAGCCACGCCUUUUUUCCUAAGAUGCAGCACGGUCACCUUUUCAGCAAUCAACUUAAUUUGGUUCACCUUUUCCUGAACUAACUUCUGGAGUUGCUCUUCUUGAUUAGCCAGAUUGUCAUCCAUUUGCACAGUAUUACUAGCUUCGUUGGCCUCUGACCUGAACAUGACAAAUGACAUCUCCUGAUCAUCACUUGGUACAUCAAAAAGUUGCUUCCCAGAUGUCCCAGAAUCUUUCCCUAAGAUGUCAUACUUAACAUGGUUGGAAAUAAUACUAACAAAGUUCUCCGUGUACUUGUCAACAGGAUUAAGGCCAAUGUAGAUCAAAACCUCCCAACACUGGAGAAACUGCUGCUUGUUAAUUUUCAGACUUUUCCUUACAUCCUCCACAGCACUGAGAGGAGGCAAAAGUCGAGGACAAUGUGUUUUCUUUGAUAGCUUUCCUUGCUUUAGAAGGGAAACAGCUUUUGUAACUACAUUCUGAAUUGGGUCAAAUCGAAGAAGGCGAAGGGUAUCAACACAAGUGCGGACAAUUUGGAAGUGAUCUAGUGGCUCUUCUACGGUGAAAUCAAAAACAUUUUCAGCUAUUGCAACAUCAUAAAGCACCUCUAGAAGGAAUCGACCAUAACCCUUGUGCUGGUACGGAGGUAAUACCAGUAUCUGCCUUAAUCGCAAUCUGGAAUCAUCAGGAUAGUGAUAAAAUCGAUAAACAGCAGAAAAACCAAUCACCCUAUAUUGGAUCUCUCCCUGCUGAUCAGUUGUCGUCUGACACACAACAUACAUCUCCCACUGUGAAUCAGUA